GGGGAAUAUUGGACAAUGGGCGCAAGCCUGAUCCAGCCAUGCCGCGUGGGUGAAGAAGGCCUUCGGGUUGUAAAGCCCUUUUGUUGGGAAAGAAAAGCAGCCGGCCAAUACCCGGUUGUUCUGACGGUACCCAAAGAAUAAGCACCGGCUAACUUCGUGCCAGCAGCCGCGGUAAUACGUAGGGUGCAAGCGUUAAUCGGAAUUACUGGGCGUAAAGCGGGCGCAGGCGGUUUUGUAAGACAGUGGUGAAAUCCCCGGGCUCAACCUGGGAACUGCCAAUGUGACUGCAAGGCUGGAGUGCGGCAGAGGGGGAUGGAAUGCCGCGUGUAGCAGUGAAAUGCGUAGAUAUGCGGAGGAACACCGAUGGCGAGGGCAAUCCCCUGGGCCUGCACUGACGCUCAUGCACGAAAGCGUGGGGAGCAAACA
rnacentral:rRNA from 1 species